GCCUAAAGAGAAGCUUGCGGCUGAUUAGCUUGUUGGUGAGGUAAUAGCUCACCAAGGCGACGAUCAGUAUCUGGUUUGAGAGGACGAUCAGACACACUGGAACUGAGACACGGUCCAGACUCCUACGGGAGGCAGCAGUAGGGAAUUUUCCGCAAUGGGCGAAAGCCUGACGGAGCAAUACCGCGUGAGGGAUGACGGCCUAUGGGUUGUAAACCUCUUUUUUCAGGGAGGAAUAAAUGACGUGUACCUGAAGAAUAAGCAUCGGCUAACUCCGUGCCAGCAGCCGCGGUAAGACGGAGGAUGCAAGUGUUAUCCGGAAUCACUGGGCGUAAAGCGUCUGUAGGUGGUCCAAUAAGUCAACUGUUAAAUCUUGAGGCUCAACCUCAAAACCGCAGUCGAAACUAUUAGACUAGAGUAUAGUAGGGGUAAAGGGAAUUUCCAGUGGAGCGGUGAAAUGCAUAGAUAUUG
rnacentral:rRNA from 1 species